CCACAUACUUCCAUGUCAAUGACGUAUACCAGGAAAGUGGAAAUCAAUAGGGGAUUUCAGUUAUGCACUAAUCUCUUACUCCUAGUCCACCCCGGGCUUGCAGGUUCAUCUUGCCGGUCGACUGCUUGGACACCUGGCUUAAGUUCUUCCUUCUUCAUCCUAGAUCUAAGCUUAACGGGCACUGACGCUUGUUCCAGCUCCCCCACCAAAGUAGCCACCGUGUAGGGUCGCAGAUCCAUGGAUGCUUCAUUGUCCUCCACCUCUGAAAGCACAUGGAAUCUGGUGCGGAUGAGGGUACACAAAAAGAUAGCAUUCAUCAGAAAUCCUACUCCAAAAUAGUUAAGCCAAAUCAAAGAUUACGCCGCUUACCUAUUGAUAGGCUGCAUUAAGAAAUCCAUCAAUAGCGUCGUCUCCUACCCCCGGCUUCGCUUCUACAAGGUCCUCUAUUUCACAAUUGAAACUUCCAGGAGCUCCAGAGAGGAAAUGAGUCCUACAAUAACUCUAUCAUGCCGCACUAACGGUAAAAGCAAUUUUCCAGUUCCAGGAGCUCCAGAAAGGAAACGAGCCCUACAAUUACUCUAUCCAGCCGCACUAAUGGUGUUCUGCUAGGUGCGGCAGCACCAAUCCUAAGCCUGCAAACAAAGGCACAUACAACAUGAAUUUUCUAACUGAAGAAGCCUACCAGUCUACAGACAAUGCACAUUUAGUAUGAAAUAUCUAACUGCGGGCAGCAAAAUUCAGGAGUUUUUCUGACUGCAUAGAGCAACCAGCAAGCAAACACAGGCGCAAUUGCAUGAAUUUUGUAAAUGUAGAGAGCAAAUCAGCCUGCAAAUGCAGACACAAUAGAAUGAACUUUCUGGAUGCAUAGAGCAAUCAACUCUGCCGCUAACUUCAGGAUUUGUUUAUUGAUUUCUACUUUCUUUUUCCUAAAUCGCUGAAAAUCUGAUGGACUGCAAGUCGGUAUACCUUUUGUUCCACCCCAGUGCUUGGGGAUUCAUCUUCCCCGUUGACAGCUCCGACAUAGCGGCAAGCUCUCCCUUCUGUUGGCCGCAGCUUCGUGCGCG
rnacentral:lncRNA from 1 species